UUUGGGAACAAUCGUUCCUCGCGUCGCCGCCGUCGGAUUGAUCCGAUUUGCGGGCGAUUUGGACCCCGCUAAGGAGCUGAGGAGGAAGAGUUGGAGAAGGAUUUUUGGAAGAAGAAGAUAAUCUUGAGAAGGGCCUUGAGGACGGCCCAGGUGGACUGAGAUGUUAUCUUCUUUGAUAUCUCCAUUUUGAUGUGAAUAGAGCUUAGAAUAAAAAGUUGUGAAUUGUUAUGGUUUGUGUUUUGUAUAAAAGUGUGGUUAUAAAUUUCAAUAUGAAAAAUAUGGCCCUGCUUUUCUA